rnacentral:rRNA from 1 species
UACGAGGGGGGCAGCGUUGUUCGGAAUUAUUGGGCGUAAAGGGUGCGUAGGCGGUCUGAUAAGUCAUCUGUGAAAUCUAUGGGCUCAACCCAUAGUCUGCAGGCGAAACUGUCGGGCUUGAGUAUGGGAGAGGUGAGUGGAAUUUCCGGUGUAGCGGUGAAAUGCGUAGAUAAUCGGAAGGAACACCUGUGGCGAAAGCGGCUCACUGGACCAUUCUGACGCUGAUGGCACGAAAAGCUAGGGGAGCAAACAGG